rnacentral:misc_RNA from 1 species
AAUAAAUAAAUAAAAUAAAAUUCUUUAUGCUUUAGAUGGCAUAAAACAUAUUCCUGAGGAAGAGGAGAAGGUUGGAGUUUAUGAAAUUUAGAAAGAAACAUUAUGCAGGUAAGACCACAAGAUAUGAUGUUCUAUGACGGUAGGCAAAGUGUUACCCUGAAAUCUAAAAACUGAAAAUAUAUAACACUAGUAUUUCUAAAGACUAGGUAUAUUUUCCUGCAGAGUAAGGCACAUUUGGAAUGCUCUAAUUAAUGAGCUAAGCUGUAUUUACUUUUCAAUACAUCUUAAGUAUCUUUAGUUUGCAUUUCUAAUCCAGAAUAGCCUUCUUCUGUAAAGGAGAAAAUUAUGGAACUAAGUGAAAUAGUGUUCAAGGAUGCAAACUUGUUGCUUCAUCCAUCAGAGGAAUAAGGAUCACUUAGUUGAUGUUUCUUAUCUUAUGACUUUGAGCAGGCUUUUAGACAGCAAUCAACUAAGUGGCAGCAUCCCAUCCUCCCUAGAACGGGUUCAAUCUUUGGAACUGAUGUGAGUACUCCUAAUAACAUAACUGUGUCAGGUUGUGUGCUUUCUGCACCACAGCUACCAGUGAAUUUGAAAUUUUUUUUUUUCUUUUUGUUUUCUGGCAACAGACGCUUGGAUAGGAACUCGUUAAAUGGACCCGUUCUGCUGAACUUCACAGGCCUAACAAAUCUGUCCCAGCU